rnacentral:rRNA from 1 species
GAACGAGAAAGUGGAGCAAUCCAUGAGUAAAGUGGCGUCCGGGUGAGUAACACGUGACUAACCUACCUUUGAGUGGGGGAUAACAUCGGGAAACCGAUGCUAAUACCGCAUAACAUCGCAAGAUCAAAGCAGCAAUGCGCUUAAAGAGGGGGUCGCGGCUGAUUAGCUAGUUGGCGGGGUAACGGCCCACCAAGGCGAAGAUCGGUAUCCGGCCUGAGAGGGCGCACGGACACACUGGAACUGAAACACGGUCCAGACUCCUACGGGAGGCAGCAGUGGGGAAUUUUGCGCAAUGGGGGAAACCCUGACGCAGCAACGCCGCGUGGAGGAUGAUGUCCCUUGGGACGUAAACUCCUUUCGACCAAGACGAUAAUGACGGUACUGGUGGAAGAAGCACCGGCUAACUCUGUGCCAGCAGCCGCGGUAAUACAGAGGGUGCAUGCGUUGUUCGGAAUUAUUGGGCGUAAAGGGCGCGUAGGCGGCGCGACAAG